UUCGGGAUUGACGGUGGUGGCGGUGGCAGGGGGCGAUGCUGUUCGGGAGGAGGCUGGAGGUGAACUUCUCGAAGCAUCCGAGCAUAUCGGCGGGGCCGGAGACGAGGGAGUACGCGGGAUCGUGCCUGAACAGAUUCAACAGGAACGCGGUGAAGAACUACAGGUACUGCUGCGCGCCGACGAGGAUGAUCCACCUGUCGGCGCUGCCGCCGGAGGUGACGGAGGAGGAGAUCGCGGCGCACCUGGAGGAGCACGGCCCCGUCGUCGCCACCAAGCUCUUCGAGGUCAGCGGCAAGAAGCAGGCGCUCGUCCUCUUCGACUCCGAGGAGCAGGCCACCGAGGC
rnacentral:lncRNA from 1 species